GUGCCAGCAGCCGCGGUAAGACAGAGGUGCCGAGCGUUAGGCGGAAUCACUGGGCUUAAAGCGUGUGUAGGCAGGUCGUUAAGUGUCUUGUGAAAUCCCCCGGCUCAACCGGGGAAUGGCUGGGCAUACUGGCGAUCUUGAGCAAUCUAGGGGCAGAUGGAACAAGUGGUGGAGCGGUGAAAUGCGUAGAUAUCACUUGGAACGCCAAAGGUGAAAACAGUCUGCUGGGGAUUUGCUGACGCUGAGACACGAAAGCCAGGGGAGCGAACGGGAUUAGAUACCCCGGUAGUCC
rnacentral:rRNA from 1 species